UAUUCUUUUCUCAAUGAAGAAUCUUAUAUCUUUCAUAUCGAAGAAAAUAAAAAAUAUUGACGAUAAAGAUAAAUAAAUAUUCGGGAGGUUAGCUCGGUGGCACUUGGUCGUUUUGAUACGGGGUUGAAGUGCGAGCUGCGGCUCGUAAACGCAGAGAGGCAGUUAUGUAUGGUGUCGUCGUCGUCGUCGUCGUCGCCGUCGCCGUCGCCGUCGUCGUCGUCGUCGUAGAAAAGUCGUAGCUGGAGCGCCCUUAGUGCAGUGUUCAUAUAUGUACAUAGAAGCAGGCUCCAACCGGCGAGUCGUGUAUUCAAGAGACGGAUUUUCAAAAAAGAAGGAAGGGAAGAGAAAGAGAAAGAAAAAGAGAGAGGAAGAGAGAUAGAGAUAGAGAUAGAGAUAGAGAUAGAGAUAGGGAUAGAGAUAGAUAGAUAGAGAGAGAGAGAGAGGAAGAGAGAGAGAGAGAGGAAGAAAGAGAGAGAGAGAGAGAGAGAGAGAGAGAGAAAGACAGAGAAAGAGAAAGAGAGAGAGAGAGAGAGUGCGUGAUAGAGGAGCUUCGAAAAACGUGUCCACAGUGUCGACGGGGCUGACACCCCGAAUACAGGAGGUGUGCUAUCUGUAGCAAGAAUAAGGAGUAAAGAAUAUAAGGAGAGAGGAGAGGUGCGAAGGGGAGUGGAUAAGCAAGUAUAGAAGGAAGGAGAGGGAGACCGUCGCGACGGACGUCGCUGGACGUCGCGUGGGACCAAGGCAAGAAAAACCGAGGAACGCUUCUUCCCUGUGUCUGAUGAGCUCCUCCGUCGUACCGUUGGUGGUAAGAUGGCUGUGCAGCUGGAUGGAGGAGGGAAGGAGGUCUUGAAAACACAAUUCGCCACGCGGGAAGGAACGUACAAGCUGAUGACCUUGUCGGAAUACUCGAGGCCGAACAGGGUCGGCUACACCAACAGCCAAGGGAGUGCGUCCGUCAGGGUAUCCUUCGUCACUUUGCCAGACUCUUCGAAUCCCUCGGGUACGCAAGAGCACGACGACCGAAUGUGUUUUAAUUUCGGAAAGGAGCUCUAUGUCUACGUUUAUCGUGGUGUCAAAAAGGCUGUGGAUUUGAACAAUCCCGUGGAAAAGAAAACAUACAAAGGAACUAAUCCGACUUGCCACAAUUUUAAUCAAACUACGGCGACGGCAGAUAGUGCACCGUUAUUAGUAGGAUUUUCUACAGGACAAAUACAAUUGAUAGACCCUAUAAAACAAGAAUUCAGUAAAUUGUAUAACGAAGAUAGACUUAUAGACAAAAGUAAGGUAACUUGCAUAAAAUGGGUUCCUGGUUCAAAUAAUCUGUUCUUGGUCUCUCAUAGUUCUGGUCAGCUAUAUCUGUAUAAUGAGGAACUUAUUUGCGGAACGACAGCUCCUCACUAUCAAUCGUUUAUGUCUGGCGAUGGUUACGCCGUAUACGUUUGUAAGGCAAAAUCUACCAGGAACCCUCUAUACAGAUGGGUGAUAGGUGCAGAGGGAUGUUGCAUAAAUGAAUUUGCCUUCAGCCCUUGCGGCUCAAAUUUGGCAGUUGUUUCUCAAGAUGGAUUUCUUCGAGUAUUCCAAUAUAAUAAAAUGGAACUUUUAGGAUCCGCUAGAAGUUACUUUGGUGGAUUUUUGUGCGUAUGUUGGUCGCCGGACGGGAGGUACGUGGUUGUUGGAGGAGAAGACGAUCUUGUAACGAUCUGGAGCUUUCAUGAAAAACGAGUGGUAGCCCGCGGACAAGGUCAUCAUAGUUGGGUGAGCGUUGUUGCGUUUGAUCCAUAUACCACGUCGUACGGAGAUCAAGACCCUGACUUUAGCGGAUCGGAUGAUGAAACGAUGCCUCAUAAUAACCAUAAUCAUUUUCAUGAAAAGUCAAAUCGUUUGUCGACAACUUCGCAAGGAGUUCAUUCUAAUAGGAACUCUAGUGGGUCAGAACUGAGAGUGCCAGGUGGUACGUGUUACAGGCUUGGUAGCGUAUCGCAAGACACCCAAUUGUGUUUGUGGGACAUCACGGAAGAUAUAUUAAGGCAGCCGGUAUGUCCUAAGCAGAGACCUUCCGCCGCAGGUUCUACUACCUUCUCUUCGUCGGGGACACACAAUAGCGGUAACGGCUCAAUGGCUAAUCAUCAUUUGAACAAUUCUAAACUCAAUAAUACAAAUAAUAUAAAUUAUAAGGAAAACGUGAGUGGUAAUAAUGAAAGUAGUAACAAUAGCGCGAGUACCAACACAGCAGUGUCUACUGUAAAUUCGUUGACACAGAGGCUAGCAGGUCUUGGUUUUGGUGAACGUAAGGGUGAUAAUCACAAGAGGAACUUUAGCCUCACUAUGAGAGGUAGUGGUGCAUCUAAUAGCACGAUCGUGCAAAACAAUAGUGGCGAAAAAACGAGCACCAACUCGAAUGCGAGUAGUAAUAUGAACAGUGUCGGUGCAAGUUUAGUAGGUGCAAAUAAGAAGGUCAGUUCGGUGAUGGACGAUCCAAUGAGAUUAAUAGGAACUGCCUAUUGUCCAAGGUUCGACGAGUGCCCAGUCCUUCAGCCCUUGGUGUGCAAAAAGCUGGCGCAUGAGAGAUUGACUGAAUUAGUGUUUAGGAAAGAUUGCUUCGUAACUGCGUGUCAAGAUGGAUACGUAUAUACAUGGGCAAGACCGGGUCACAUGUGACAGUCUUAUAAUUUAAUCGGAAGAUGCUUGCGCUUGUUUCUUAAAGCCGGUGGGGCAUUAAUUUUUUACUUUGAUCGGAAAGAUUAAUGUUCUGUACCAAUGCUUUGGCUGAUGCAAGAGAAUCAUGGAUGAGACUUCCCUGAGUUAUCGCAUGCCAGGCAUUGGACAGGUUGGUAAUGCCCUACACGUUGUCAGUCCAGCAGAAGGUGGAGGUACUAUAGUAUAGCCACAGUCUGAUACAAAUGUAGUAUCAAAUCAUCAUGACGAAUACGUCCCAUCGUCUUAUACAUUGCAAUUUCCAGAAUUACAACCACACACUCAUUAUCGUCAUUUGUAUUACGUGUGGCCAAGUGAAAAUUAUUCUAGUAUAGUUCAAUGAUCAUAGAGAAAAUCGUUAUACGGCUUGAUGCACCUCCUCUUCAUUUAGUAUGCUAAAAGUCGUGCAUUAUUUCUCAUUUUCUUUAUCUCCUUUACUCGUAAGACAAAUGAUUAACAUCAAAUUUAUAUUGAUAAAAACCUUUAUAAGAACAUAUUAAUUGGAAAAUGGAAGAAUCAAACUGUGUAUACAUGUAUAUAUGUAUGCAUAUUUCGUGUCUUAUACUGCAGACUUAUACCGUUGUGUCAUUCCACCAAUAGAAGUUUAUUUAUCUAUAAGAGUUUCUAUCGAGAGAACUCUUUCAAUAAGAAGAAAGUUCCGUGUCUGUGAGAACGUUUGUACUUUUACCGUUCAUUGAAGAUAUACUGCAGUACAGUUUGAAAAUAUAUAUUUAAGAAGAAUAAAAAAGAAUCGAAUAGAAAGUUAUUGUAAUCAGUCAGAAUAAUGUGUAAAUAAGACGAAACUGAAAAACUACAUUGAAAUAGAAUAUCUUGAUUUAGGUAUCUUCUUUGUCAAACAUCGGCAUACAUUCUUUUCCUAUACAUUGACAUAAACGAGUACAAGAUAUAAUAUUGUACAUUGAACUUGAAUCUAAUGCCUGCAUUAACUCAAUGUUUUUCUUUGAAAUUAGUUUAUCGACAAAGUAAACGAAUAAAAUGUAAUAACUUCGACAAAUUUGGAUAAUCAAGAAAAUUUUUGAGAAGGCUCCUUCCGUUUCAAGUUCUAUAAGGAAUAUGCCUACUGCAUAGCAACGUGCAUACAUGUACAGUUAAUAAAAAAAGAUUAUACAUGAAAAAUAAUUUUGUACCUGAGAGCUAUAAGAUAUACAUACAUAGAUUGCAUAUAAUACGAUCAUUCCAAAAACAAACGUUGUUGAGAAUUACGCGUUAUAGAAACAACAUAAUGAAGUUUAUUUCAUCUAUGGCCUUAAUAUUACAUGCCAGGUAAUACUUUUAUGCAAAAUUAAUUAGAUCAAUAGAGCGUCAAUGUUUAUUGCAGUGAUAUUAUACCGAAUAAACAUUUUUCUUUGCUUUCCUAUUAUCAUUAACGAUUUGAUAUUAAGAUAAUAAUUUAAUACGUUUAUACUCUGUCAUAACGCGUAUUGCAAGUGCAUCGAAUUGUUACAUAACGUCAUUCAUUUUUCAAACAUAUUAUUUUAUGUUGAGCUCGCAUCCGUUGUCGUUUAAACUCCUAUGUAGCAUUAUUACUGAAAGAUUUAUUGGAAAUACAAAGUAUAUAUGGAUUAUUUAAAAAAAGCUACUACGACACAAUAUUACUGUUUUAUUUUUCAUAACUCGGGGAUAGCUUUUAUAAGUGCUACCAUAUAGUUCUCAGGUGCAGAAGUGUACCAAGAUGAGAAGAAAAAUUCUGAAUGCUAGAGACCGAUAGGUGUAUGGAAAAUUUCAAGAAUAAACAGUAUUUCGAACUGAACGUUCUAUAGAGCGAAUGUUAUAUUUAUUAA